AUUGAACGUUGGCGGCAUGCCUUACACAUGCAAGUCGAACGGCAGCACGGGUGCUUGCACCUGGUGGCGAGUGGCGAACGGGUGAGUAAUACAUCGGAACGUACCUUAUCGUGGGGGAUAACGCAGCGAAAGCUGUGCUAAUACUGCAUACGCCCUGAGGGGGAAAGCGGGGGAUCGCAAGACCUCGCGCGAUUAGAGCGGCCGAUGCCUGAUUAGCUUGUUGGUGGGGUAAAAGCCCACCAAGGCGACGAUCAGUAGCUGGUCUGAGAGGACGAUCAGCCACACUGGGACUGAGACACGGCCCAGACUCCUACGGGAGGCAGCAGUGGGGAAUUUUGGACAAUGGGGGCAACCCUGAUCCAGCAAUGCCGCGUGAGUGAAGAAGGCCUUCGGGUUGUAAAGCUCUUUUGUCAGGGAAGAAACACCGGCUCUAACACAGUCUGGGAAUGACGGUACCUGAAGAAUAAGCACCGGCUAACUACGUGCCAGCCGCCGCGGUAA
rnacentral:rRNA from 1 species